GGGUUGUGAGGUUAAGCGACUAAGCGUACACGGUGGAUGCCCUGGCAGUCAGAGGCGAUGAAGGACGUGCUAAUCUGCGAUAAGCGUCGGUAAGGUGAUAUGAACCGUUAUAACCGGCGAUUUCCGAAUGGGGAAACCCAGUGUGAUUCGUCACACUAUCAUUAACUGAAUCCAUAGGUUAAUGAGGCGAACCGGGGGAACUGAAACAUCUAAGUACCCCGAGGAAAAGAAAUCAACCGAGAUUCCCCCAGUAGCGGCGAGCGAACGGGGAGCAGCCCAGAGCCUGAAUCAGUGUGUGUGUUAGUGGAAGCGUCUGGAAAGGCGUGCGAUACAGGGUGACAGCCCCGUACACAAAAAUGCACAUGCUGUGAGCUCGAUGAGUAGGGCGGGACACGUGGUAUCCUGUCUGAAUAUGGGGGGACCAUCCUCCAAGGCUAAAUACUCCUGACUGACCGAUAGUGAACCAGUACCGUGAGGGAAAGGCGAAAAGAACCCCGGCGAGGGGAGUGAAAAAGAACCUGAAACCGUGUACGUACAAGCAGUGGGAGCACGCUUAGGCGUGUGACUGCGUACCUUUUGUAUAAUGGGUCAGCGACUUAUAUUCUGUAGCAAGGUUAACCGAAUAGGGGAGCCGAAGGGAAACCGAGUCUUAACUGGGCGUUAAGUUGCAGGGUAUAGACCCGAAACCCGGUGAUCUAGCCAUGGGCAGGUUGAAGGUUGGGUAACACUAACUGGAGGACCGAACCGACUAAUGUUGAAAAAUUAGCGGAUGACUUGUGGCUGGGGGUGAAAGGCCAAUCAAACCGGGAGAUAGCUGGUUCUCCCCGAAAGCUAUUUAGGUAGCGCCUCGUGAAUUCAUCUCCGGGGGUAGAGCACUGUUUCGGCAAGGGGGUCAUCCCGACUUACCAACCCGAUGCAAACUGCGAAUACCGGAGAAUGUUAUCACGGGAGACACACGGCGGGUGCUAACGUCCGUCGUGAAGAGGGAAACAACCCAGACCGCCAGCUAAGGUCCCAAAGUCAUGGUUAAGUGGGAAACGAUGUGGGAAGGCCCAGACAGCCAGGAUGUUGGCUUAGAAGCAGCCAUCAUUUAAAGAAAGCGUAAUAGCUCACUGGUCGAGUCGGCCUGCGCGGAAGAUGUAACGGGGCUAAACCAUGCACCGAAGCUGCGGCAGCGACGCUGAUGCGUUGUUGGGUAGGGGAGCGUUCUGUAAGCCUGCGAAGGUGUGCUGUGAGGCAUGCUGGAGGUAUCAGAAGUGCGAAUGCUGACAUAAGUAACGAUAAAGCGGGUGAAAAGCCCGCUCGCCGGAAGACCAAGGGUUCCUGUCCAACGUUAAUCGGGGCAGGGUGAGUCGACCCCUAAGGCGAGGCCGAAAGGCGUAGUCGAUGGGAAACAGGUUAAUAUUCCUGUACUUGGUGUUACUGCGAAGGGGGGACGGAGAAGGCUAUGUUGGCCGGGCGACGGUUGUCCCGGUUUAAGCGUGUAGGCUGGUUUUCCAGGCAAAUCCGGAAAAUCAAGGCUGAGGCGUGAUGACGAGGCACUACGGUGCUGAAGCAACAAAUGCCCUGCUUCCAGGAAAAGCCUCUAAGCAUCAGGUAACAUCAAAUCGUACCCCAAACCGACACAGGUGGUCAGGUAGAGAAUACCAAGGCGCUUGAGAGAACUCGGGUGAAGGAACUAGGCAAAAUGGUGCCGUAACUUCGGGAGAAGGCACGCUGAUAUGUAGGUGAAGCGACUUGCUCGUGGAGCUGAAAUCAGUCGAAGAUACCAGCUGGCUGCAACUGUUUAUUAAAAACACAGCACUGUGCAAACACGAAAGUGGACGUAUACGGUGUGACGCCUGCCCGGUGCCGGAAGGUUAAUUGAUGGGGUCAGCGCAAGCGAAGCUCUUGAUCGAAGCCCCGGUAAACGGCGGCCGUAACUAUAACGGUCCUAAGGUAGCGAAAUUCCUUGUCGGGUAAGUUCCGACCUGCACGAAUGGCGUAAUGAUGGCCAGGCUGUCUCCACCCGAGACUCAGUGAAAUUGAACUCGCUGUGAAGAUGCAGUGUACCCGCGGCAAGACGGAAAGACCCCGUGAACCUUUACUAUAGCUUGACACUGAACAUUGAGCCUUGAUGUGUAGGAUAGGUGGGAGGCUUUGAAGUGUGGACGCCAGUCUGCAUGGAGCCGACCUUGAAAUACCACCCUUUAAUGUUUGAUGUUCUAACGUUGACCCGUAAUCCGGGUUGCGGACAGUGUCUGGUGGGUAGUUUGACUGGGGCGGUCUCCUCCUAAAGAGUAACGGAGGAGCACGAAGGUUGGCUAAUCCUGGUCGGACAUCAGGAGGUUAGUGCAAUGGCAUAAGCCAGCUUGACUGCGAGCGUGACGGCGCGAGCAGGUGCGAAAGCAGGUCAUAGUGAUCCGGUGGUUCUGAAUGGAAGGGCCAUCGCUCAACGGAUAAAAGGUACUCCGGGGAUAACAGGCUGAUACCGCCCAAGAGUUCAUAUCGACGGCGGUGUUUGGCACCUCGAUGUCGGCUCAUCACAUCCUGGGGCUGAAGUAGGUCCCAAGGGUAUGGCUGUUCGCCAUUUAAAGUGGUACGCGAGCUGGGUUUAGAACGUCGUGAGACAGUUCGGUCCCUAUCUGCCGUGGGCGCUGGAGAACUGAGGGGGGCUGCUCCUAGUACGAGAGGACCGGAGUGGACGCAUCACUGGUGUUCGGGUUGUCAUGCCAAUGGCACUGCCCGGUAGCUAAAUGCGGAAGAGAUAAGUGCUGAAAGCAUCUAAGCACGAAACUUGCCCCGAGAUGAGUUCUCCCUGACUCCUUGAGAGUCCUGAAGGAACGUUGAAGACGACGACGUUGAUAGGCCGGGUGUGUAAGCGCAGCGAUGCGUUGAGCUAACCGGUACUAAUGAACCGUGAGGCUUAACCUUACAACGCCGAAGCUGUU
rnacentral:rRNA from 1 species